ACGAACGCUGGCGGCAGGCCUAACACAUGCAAGUCGAGCGCGCCCUUCGGGGUGAGCGGCGGCCGGGUGAGUAACGCGUGGGAACGUACCCUUUGCUACGGAAUAGCCUCGGGAAACUGAGAGUAAUACCGUAUACGCCCUUUGGGGGAAAGAUUUAUCGGCAAAGGAUCGGCCCGCGUUGGAUUAGGUAGUUGGUGGGGUAAUGGCCCACCAAGCCGACGAUCCAUAGCUGGUUUGAGAGGAUGAUCAGCCACACUGGGACUGAGACACGGCCCAAACUCCUACGGAAGGCGGCAGGGGGGAAUCUUAGACAAGGGGGGCAACCCUGAUCUAGCCAGGCCGCGUGAGGGAUGAAGGCCUUAGGGUUGUAAAGCUCUUUCAGCUGGGAGGAUAAUGACGGUACCAGCAGAAGAAGCCCCGGCUAACUCCGU
rnacentral:rRNA from 1 species